CCUACGGGUGGCAGCAGUGAGGAAUAUUGGUCAAUGGGCGCAAGCCUGAACCAGCAACGCCGCGUGGAGGAUGAAGGCCUUCGGGUUGUAAACUUCUUUUCGUGGGGAAAAGGAAGGAUGGUACCCACAGAAUAAGUCACGGCUAACUACGUGCCAGCAGCCGCGGUAAUACGUAGGUGACGAGCGUUAUCCGGAAUUAUUGGGCGUAAAGCGUACGCAAGCGGUUGAUAAAGUCUGACGUGAAAUUUUUUGGCUUAACCAAGAGGGGUCGUUGGAAACUAAUCGGCUUGAGGCGAUGAGAGGAGUGCGGAAUUCCCGGUGUAGUGGUGGAAUGCGUAGAUAUCGGGAGGAACAUCAGUGGCGAAAGCGGCACUCUGGCAUUAGCCUGACGCGCAGGUACGAAAGCGUGGGGAGUGAACGGGAUUAGAUACCCGUGUAGUC
rnacentral:rRNA from 1 species